GAUGAACGCUGGCGGCGUGCCUAAUACAUGCAAGUCGAGCGAACAGAUGAGGAGCUUGCUCCUCUGACGUUAGCGGCGGAAGGGUGAGUAACACGUGGAUAACCUACCUAUAAGACUGGGAUAACUUCGGGAAACCGGAGCUAAUACCGGAUAAUAUAUUGAACCGCAUGGUUCAAUAGUGAAAGACGGUUUUGCUGUCACUUAUAGAUGGAUCCGCGCCGCAUUAGCUAGUUGGUAAGGUAACGGCUUACCAAGGCAACGAUGCGUAGCCGACCUGAGAGGGUGAUCGGCCACACUGGAACUGAGACACGGUCCAGACUCCUACGGGAGGCAGCAGUAGGGAAUCUUCCGCAAUGGGCGAAAGCUUGACGGAGCAACGCCGCGUGAGUGAUGAAGGUCUUCGGGUCGUAAAACGCUGUUAUUAGGGAAGAAAAAAUGUGUAAGUAACUAUGCACGUCUUGACGGUACCUAAUCAGAAAGCCACGGCUAACUACGUG
rnacentral:rRNA from 1 species